AGAGUUUGAUCCUGGCUCAGGACGAACGCUGGCGGCGCGCUUAACACAUGCAAGUCGAGCGAGAACCGAGCCUUCGGGCUCGGGGAAAGCGGCGAACGGGUGAGUAACACGUGGGCAACCCACCCUUGGUACCGGGAUAGCCCGGGGAAACUCGGAUUAAUACCGGAUGGCCCAGCAGCUCUUCGGGGCGGCUGGAAAAGGUAGCUUCGGCCUCCGACCAAGGACGGGCCCGCGGCGGAUUAGCUUGUUGGCGGGGUAACGGCCCACCAAGGCGACGAUCCGUAGCUGGUCUGAGAGGACGAUCAGCCACACUGGGACUGAGACACGGCCCAGACUCCUACGGGAGGCAGCAGUGGGGAAUCUUGCGCAAUGGGCGAAAGCCUGACGCAGCGACGCCGCGUGGGGGAAGAAGGCUUUCGGGUUGUAAACCCCUUUCAGGAGGGACGAAGCUACUCGGGUGAAUAGCCCAGAGGGUGACGGUACCUCCAGAAGAAGCCCCGGCUAACUACGUGCCAGCAGCCGCGGUAAUACGUAGGGGGCAAGCGUUGUCCGGAUUUAUUGGGCGUAAAGAGCGUGUAGGCGGCCAUGUAGGUCCGUUGUGAAAACUCGAGGCUCAACCUCGAGACGCCGAUGGAAACCAUGUGGCUAGAGUCCGGAAGAGGAGAGUGGAAUUCCCGGUGUAGCGGUGAAAUGCGCAGAUAUCGGGAAGAACACCCGUGGCUAAGGCGGCUCUCUAGUACGGUACUGACGCUGAGACGCGAAAGCGUGGGGAGCGAACAGGAUUAGAUACCCCCGUAGUCC
rnacentral:rRNA from 1 species